rnacentral:rRNA from 1 species
GGCAGGCUUAACACAUGCAAGUCGAGCGGGGGAAGGUAGCUUGCUACCGGACCUAGCGGCGGACGGGUGAGUAAUGCUUAGGAAUCUGCCUAUUAGUGGGGGACAACAUCUCGAAAGGGAUGCUAAUACCGCAUACGUCCUACGGGAGAAAGCAGGGGAUCUUCGGACCUUGCGCUAAUAGAUGAGCCUAAGUCGGAUUAGCUAGUUGGUGGGGUAAAGGCCUACCAAGGCGACGAUCUGUAGCGGGUCUGAGAGGAUGAUCCGCCACACUGGGACUGAGACACGGCCCAGACUCCCACGGGAGGCAGCAGUGGGGAAUAUUGGACAAUGGGGGGAACCCUGAUCCAGCCAUGCCGCGUG